CUCGUGCAGUGGCCUCAGCGGGUGGGCGACGACACCUGCAGCUGGUGCACAAUGGCGACGGCAUGCAGCUCCUGUGCCCCGCAACACUCUCCUUCCACGCAUAGCAGGAGCGGGAGCAAGGAUGCUGAGGCAGUAGUUCAGUAGAAGGAAAAUGAGGCAGAGAAGGUUUCACCAACCUCUUCUACACUGACAAAUCUUUUCUUUCCAGCAUUGCCAUGGAGCAGCGAAUGUGCUCAUGGAAGCUCAUUACCUUGAUUAGCAGCGACGGCGCCGCUCCUCCUCAAGGCCACGGGUGAAGCAGCAGCGGCACCGCUCCUCCUCAUGGCCAUGGCCACAUCCUCCUCCACACCUCCUUUGCACGCGCUUCCCGCUUCCGCUUGCUCGUUCUCCGGGUGUUGUAGUCAGAACAGGCAGGGAGGAGAGGGCACACAAAAGCUAGGCAGGCCACAGACAACAGUGUGCUGCAGACUUGAGUGAGGACAACAGUGAGUGACACUGGACGAAUCCGUCCUGGUCGAGCCCCCACCCAGACGGCUACCUGCAGAGGAGAUGUCAAGGACAGCUCCCAGUUCGUGGCGGAGACACCAGCACAGAUAGGGUUUGGGUGAGGGUUGAUUCCUACCCUGAUGGCAGCAACCCUCCUUCCGCAACCUUGCCCGCCGAGUGCACUGAGCUAUUUUGCUGUACAAAGAGCCUCUCCUUUUCAAUAGAUAAUACAAUCAAUCCAACUGUUAACUUUGGUGUGCUUUUUGGAUGGACUAAUAUGAAGACGCUGGCUAGCUCGCAUUGCCAUCAUAUAUUCUAGAAGCAAGAGCAAGGAUUAUAGCGAAAAUAAUGGUAUAUGUUGAUAACAAAGGGGUUGGAGUGGUGCCCUGUGGUGACAGCCGACAGUGGAGAAAGAUGAGAGGUGGCGCAAACAUGAUGGCCAAACCUGUGGUGCUUUGCAAGGUAUCUAAUAUGGCUAAAUGCGUAACGAAAACGUCUGUCUUCCUAGCCUCAUAGAUCCAACAGUAGCACGAAUAAGCAAAGGAUAUUUGUUUUCAAAGCCUCUGUUACGAGUGAAAUGCGGCAAUGGAAGCAAGGAAUCGUGGCUUACUUCUAUUCGGAUUCCAUAUCUACUAGGACAAUCCUGAUAUCCUUCUCAUCAUUUAUAUUUGAUUCUUUGGAGAUUCAUAAAGAAGGAAUGCAUCCACAAUCUUGGUAUAAAAUUUGUUUGGAUGGUUCAGAAUCUUUAGAUGGCAUGGAUGAGACAUAAUUUGUUGUAUUCAGAUAUUUUUCAUGGUUACAGCAGUCUUGCUCCUUCGGCCCUUCAACAACAGUUCACCGAUUAGUUUAUCAGUCGGCGGCAGCAGGCAACACGAGCGGAGAAGGUAGUGAGGGAAGGAGAAGAAGCAGCAAACAUCAGCAGACACCCCACACCCGUCGUGGCGUCCUGGAGGGCCCUCGCUACGGAUGGCAGCGGAAGUUGGCAAGGCCGGCGGCCAGCGGUUGGCAGCAGCGAGAAGCGCGAGUGAAAGACCUGGUUGAUUUGGGAAAGGGAGGAGAACAGAGGACUGGUCGAUUUAUUGAAAGAAGAACAGAUAAGGUUUGGUAGAUUUGGGGGAAAGGAGGAGAGACAAGCGUGCGUGGCAGCAGGUAGUCGGUGUAUUGGACUCAGAUAUAUUUGGGCUGGGCCAAAUGCUUAUUGUAAACUUAAUUAUCCUUUCCAAUUCUGAAAGGGUGGGUCGUGGCACCCUUUGGCCCAGAUAAGGCUGCACUGAAUGUUCUCUUAGGUGGCCUUCUGUAUGCCAGUUAGUCUAGCUGUACGUUUAUUUUUUUUUGUUUGUUUGUAUUUCUUAAAAGCUAAUGUCGUUGCAUGCUUUUUUAACCUUUUUUUUUUAUCGGAGAAAGAUGAUGCUCAGGAAAUUACUUAUUGGAUGGAAGUAUAGUCACCUUACAAAGUUUUUCCACCAAAUGUUUUUGUGUGUGCAACUAUGAUCGGUUUCUAUUCGUUUAUUGUACAGUUUUAUUCUGCAGAAACCGCAUAGAGGACAAGAAAAAUAGAAAAGUUAAUUUUGGGGACGGCGAAAGACUACAUAUCU